rnacentral:rRNA from 1 species
UACGUAGGGUGCGAGCGUUAAUCGGAAUUACUGGGCGUAAAGCGUGCGCAGGCGGUUUUGUAAGCCAGAUGUGAAAUCCCCGGGCUUAACCUGGGAAUGGCAUUUGGGACUGCAAGGCUGGAGUGCGGCAGAGGAGACUGGAAUUCCUGGUGUAGCAGUGAAAUGCGUAGAUAUCAGGAGGAAUACCGAUGGCGAAGGCAGGUCUCUGGGCUGACACUGACGCUGAGGAGCGAAAGCCAGGGGAGCAAACGGG